GGGUUGUGAGGUUAAGCGACUAAGCGUACACGGUGGAUGCCCUGGCAGUCAGAGGCGAUGAAGGACGUGCUAAUCUGCGAAAAGCGUCGGUAAGGUGAUAUGAACCGUUACAGCCGGCGAUGUCCGAAUGGGGAAACCCAGUGCAAUUCGUUGCACUAUCGUUAACUGAAUACAUAGGUUAACGAGGCGAACCGGGGGAACUGAAACAUCUAAGUACCCCGAGGAAAAGAAAUCAACCGAGAUUCCCCCAGUAGCGGCGAGCGAACGGGGAGCAGCCCAGAGUCUGAAUCAGCUUGUGUGUUAGUGGAACGGUCUGGAAAGUCCGACGGUACAGGGUGAUAGUCCCGUACACCAAAAUGCACAGGUUGUGAACUCGAAGAGUAGGGCGGGACACGUGGUAUCCUGUCUGAAUAUGGGGGGACCAUCCUCCAAGGCUAAAUACUCCUGACUGACCGAUAGUGAACCAGUACCGUGAGGGAAAGGCGAAAAGAACCCCGGCGAGGGGAGUGAAAAAGAACCUGAAACCGUGUACGUACAAGCAGUGGGAGCACCUUCGGGUGUGACUGCGUACCUUUUGUAUAAUGGGUCAGCGACUUAUAUUCUGUAGCAAGGUUAACCGUAUAGGGGAGCCGCAGGGAAACCGAGUCUUAACUGGGCGUUAAGUUGCAGGGUAUAGACCCGAAACCCGGUGAUCUAGCCAUGGGCAGGUUGAAGGUUGGGUAACACUAACUGGAGGACCGAACCGACUAAUGUUGAAAAAUUAGCGGAUGACUUGUGGCUGGGGGUGAAAGGCCAAUCAAACCGGGAGAUAGCUGGUUCUCCCCGAAAGCUAUUUAGGUAGCGCCUCGUGAACUCAUCUUCGGGGGUAGAGCACUGUUUCGGCUAGGGGGUCAUCCCGACUUACCAACCCGAUGCAAACUACGAAUACCGAAGAAUGUUAUCACGGGAGACACACGGCGGGUGCUAACGUCCGUCGUGAAGAGGGAAACAACCCAGACCGCCAGCUAAGGUCCCAAAGUCACAGUUAAGUGGGAAACGAUGUGGGAAGGCACAGACAGCCAGGAUGUUGGCUUAGAAGCAGCCAUCAUUUAAAGAAAGCGUAAUAGCUCACUGGUCGAGUCGGCCUGCGCGGAAGAUGUAACGGGGCUAAACUGUGCACCGAAGCUGCGGCAGCGACACUUAGGUGUUGUUGGGUAGGGGAGCGUUCUGUAAGCCUGCGAAGGUGGCCUGUGAGGGUUGCUGGAGGUAUCAGAAGUGCGAAUGCUGACAUAAGUAACGAUAAUGCGGGUGAAAAGCCCGCACGCCGGAAGACCAAGGGUUCCUGUCCAACGUUAAUCGGGGCAGGGUGAGUCGACCCCUAAGGCGAGGCCGAAAGGCGUAGUCGAUGGGAAACAGGUUAAUAUUCCUGUACUUGGUGUUACUGCGAAGGGGGGACGGAGAAGGCUAUGUUAGCCGGGCGACGGUUGUCCCGGUUUAAGCAUGUAGGCGGAGGUUCCAGGUAAAUCCGGUACCUUUUAACGCUGAGGUGUGAUGACGAGGCACUACGGUGCUGAAGUAACAAAUGCCCUGCUUCCAGGAAAAGCCUCUAAGCAUCAGGUAACAUUGAAUCGUACCCCAAACCGACACAGGUGGUCAGGUAGAGAAUACCAAGGCGCUUGAGAGAACUCGGGUGAAGGAACUAGGCAAAAUGGUGCCGUAACUUCGGGAGAAGGCACGCUGAUAUGUAGGUGAAGCCCCUGCGGGUGGAGCUGAAAUCAGUCGAAGAUACCAGCUGGCUGCAACUGUUUAUUAAAAACACAGCACUGUGCAAACACGAAAGUGGACGUAUACGGUGUGACGCCUGCCCGGUGCCGGAAGGUUAAUUGAUGGGGUUAUCCGUAAGGAGAAGCUCUUGAUCGAAGCCCCGGUAAACGGCGGCCGUAACUAUAACGGUCCUAAGGUAGCGAAAUUCCUUGUCGGGUAAGUUCCGACCUGCACGAAUGGCGUAAUGAUGGCCAGGCUGUCUCCACCCGAGACUCAGUGAAAUUGAACUCGCUGUGAAGAUGCAGUGUACCCGCGGCAAGACGGAAAGACCCCGUGAACCUUUACUAUAGCUUGACACUGAACAUUGAGCCUUGAUGUGUAGGAUAGGUGGGAGGCUUUGAAGCGUGGACGCCAGUCUGCGUGGAGCCAACCUUGAAAUACCACCCUUUAAUGUUUGAUGUUCUAACGUUGGCCCCUGACCGGGGUUGCGGACAGUGUCUGGUGGGUAGUUUGACUGGGGCGGUCUCCUCCCAAAGAGUAACGGAGGAGCACGAAGGUUAGCUAAUCCUGGUCGGACAUCAGGAGGUUAGUGCAAUGGCAUAAGCUAGCUUGACUGCGAGCGUGACGGCGCGAGCAGGUGCGAAAGCAGGUCAUAGUGAUCCGGUGGUUCUGAAUGGAAGGGCCAUCGCUCAACGGAUAAAAGGUACUCCGGGGAUAACAGGCUGAUACCGCCCAAGAGUUCAUAUCGACGGCGGUGUUUGGCACCUCGAUGUCGGCUCAUCACAUCCUGGGGCUGAAGUAGGUCCCAAGGGUAUGGCUGUUCGCCAUUUAAAGUGGUACGCGAGCUGGGUUUAGAACGUCGUGAGACAGUUCGGUCCCUAUCUGCCGUGGGCGCUGGAGAAUUGAGGGGGGCUGCUCCUAGUACGAGAGGACCGGAGUGGACGCAUCACUGGUGUUCGGGUUGUCAUGCCAAUGGCAUUGCCCGGUAGCUAAAUGCGGAAGAGAUAAGUGCUGAAAGCAUCUAAGCACGAAACUUGCCCCGAGAUGAGUUCUCCCUGACUCCUUGAGAGUCCUGAAGGAACGUUAAAGACGAUGACGUUGAUAGGUCGGGUGUGUAAGCGUAGCGAUACGUUGAGCUAACCGAUACUAAUGAACCGUGAGGCUUAACCUUACAACGCCGAAGGUGUUU
rnacentral:rRNA from 1 species